AUUGAACGCUGGCGGCAUGCUUUACACAUGCAAGUCGAACGGUAACAGGCCGCAAGGUGCUGACGAGUGGCGAACGGGUGAGUAAUGCAUCGGAACGUACCCAGUCGUGGGGGAUAACGCAGCGAAAGCUGUGCUAAUACCGCAUACGAUCUAUGGAUGAAAGCGGGGGACCGUAAGGCCUCGCGCGAUUGGAGCGGCCGAUGUCAGAUUAGGUAGUUGGUGGGGUAAAGGCUCACCAAGCCAACGAUCUGUAGCUGGUCUGAGAGGACGACCAGCCACACUGGGACUGAGACACGGCCCAGACUCCUACGGGAGGCAGCAGUGGGGAAUUUUGGACAAUGGGCGCAAGCCUGAUCCAGCAAUGCCGCGUGCAGGAAGAAGGCUUUCGGGUUGUAAACUGCUUUUGUACGGAACGAAAAGGUUUGGGUUAAUACCCUGGGCCGAUGACGGUACCGUAAGAAUAAGCACCGGCUAACUACGUGCCAGCAGCCGCCGCCG
rnacentral:rRNA from 1 species